rnacentral:rRNA from 3 species
UACAGCCUUGCUGAAUUAUUCACCCUUGUCUUUUGCGUACUUCUUGUUUCCUUGGUGGGUUCGCCCACCACUAGGACAAACAUAAACCUUUUGUAAUUGCAAUCAGCGUCAGUAACAAAUUAAUAAUUACAACUUUCAACAACGGAUCUCUUGGUUCUGGCAUCGAUGAAGAACGCAGCGAAAUGCGAUAAGUAGUGUGAAUUGCAGAAUUCAGUGAAUCAUCGAAUCUUUGAACGCACAUUGCGCCCUUUGGUAUUCCAAAGGGCAUGCCUGUUCGAGCGUCAUUUGUACCCUCAAGCUUUGCUUGGUGUUGGGCGUCUUGUCUCUAGCUUUGCUGGAGACUCGCCUUAAAGUAAUUGGCAGCCGGCCUACUGGUUUCGGAGCGCAGCACAAGUCGCACUCUCUAUCAGCAAAGGUCUAGCAUCCAUUAAGCCUUUUUUUCAACUUUUGACCUCGGAUCAGGUAGGGAUACCCGCUGAACUUAAGCAUAU